rnacentral:rRNA from 1 species
AUGGUACACCAUCAAAAGCAAUAUAGCACUAUGGGUAUGAUAGAUGAUAAGCAGAAUGUGAAAGUGAAAGAAGAGGGUGGUGAAAAUACGAAUGCGAAAGAGAAAAAGAAACAAAGCAAAGAAGAAGGUGAUAAGAAAAAGGAGGUGAAGAAGAUGACUAAGUAUAAGGAGAAGAAAGAGAGAACGAGGGGUAAUGACAAGGAUAAUGAGAAGGAGAAGGAGGAUCAGAGGAAAAGGAAGGAAAAUGAGAAGAAGAUGAGGGCACAUAAGGAAAGAGAGAAGAAGGAGAAUGAUAAAGAGGAGGAGUUGAAGGGGCAGAAUGACACAAAAAAUUGCCCACAGUUCUUUAGGUUCCUAAUGACCAGUUCAUCUAUGGAACAAGAGACAAUUCCCGAAGACUGCCACAAAUACUUGGAAGAGUGUACAGGAACAGUUUCACUGAGAGGUCCAAGCGGAAAUUUAUGGCCCGUAGAGCUGGCUAAAAUCUCCGGGGAGCUAUGCUUUGCAUGUGGAUGGAAGGAGUUCCUCUGCGACCAUCGCAUCGUGUAUGGCUACCUGCUGGUUUUCCGUUAUGAUGGGAACUCACAGUUCUCAGUCACGGUAUUCUUGCCAUCAUCCUGCGAGGCACCGUAUGCGUUUCUAGCCCAGCCGCAGCGCAUGGGCGCCACCGCUGUGGCAGCAAAGGAUGAGAAUGGGCACACGGGCACCAAUGCAGAUGGUACUGCCCCGCAAGAAGAAGACUCUCACAUUGGCACAGGUGCAGAUGGUACUCCACAAAAUGAAGGAGAAGAAGAAGAUGCUUCAGAAGAAUAUGAAGGGAGCGACAACAUGAGUGUCGAUGCUGACGGCGCUGGUCCACAAAAGGAAGAAGAAGAUGCAUUAUCAGAGAAUCCGGAUAAUGAGGAAGAAAGUGAAUGGCGCAGCUCACCAUCGCAGCAACAGAAGGAGGAUCAAGACAAGAUCGACAAUGGUUUUGUGGUCGGGAAGAGGACUAGGUUCAGGAAGGUUGAUGAUAUCAUGACAGAAGUGGUCGGAUCCAAGAAGUCCAAGGCUAAGGAAGGGAAAAGACAUGAAGCUCAAUCUAGUGAUUCGAAGUCUGAAGGAGAAGCAUUAGGUGACAGUUUAGAAACAGAAUCGGGGCUUCGUCCACCCAGGAAGUCCAAGGCUACUCAGGAGAAAAGGCCUGAAGCUCCAUCAGGUGAUAGUUUGGCAGAAUUGGUCCAUUGUUCACCCAAGAAGUCCAAGGCUGAGGGGAAAAGGUCUACUGCUUUAGCUUCUAAAGGAGCAGCAUCAAGUGACAGAUUGAAAGAAUCAAAGCGUUGUCCACCCAGGAAGCCCAAGGCUGCGAAGGGGAAAAGGCCUCAAGGUCCAUGUGGCCAUUCGGAGUCUGAGGGAGCAGAAUCAGGUGACAGUUUGGCAGAAUUGGUCCGUCGUCCACCCAAGAAGUCCAGGGCUGAGGGGAAAGGGUCUGCUGCUUCAUCAGCUUCUAAAGGAAUGACGUCAAGUCACAGUUUGGCAGUUCAUACAGGUGUACUUGCGCCAGAAUCCGUAUGCAAGGACUUAACCAAAUUACACAAAUCUUUUGGUAAAAAAUAUAGUAUGAAGGCUCAGUUCCCGAUGUUCAAUAACAGCAAUAGUGAAAACCAACCUGGUAGAGUUAUCGUCAAGGUUCAGAGAAGGCCGGAAUUAAAGUCGCAGAGACGUCAAGUAACCCAAAGGGACAAGGAAUAUGCUAUGGACAGGGCACAGAGGUUCCAAUCCAAGAGGCCCUUCGUGAUCAAGGAAAUAAAGCACACCGAUGUCUAUGUGUCGUACUUCAUGAUCAUUCCAGAAAUGUUCGUUGAAAAUUUCCUCCCGAAGGAAAGCAGGAAGAUGACGCUGUGGGACCCACAGGCGAAGCCGUGGAAGGUGUGGUACGAGUACACCGGCGGGGAGUGUCCCCGUGCGGCGUUCAGCGCCGGGUGGGGCGCGCUCGCCAUGGAGAACUACCUGGAGAACAGGGACUUGUGUGUGUUCGAGCUCCUGGAUGAUGACUACAACAUCAAGCUGCACGUCUAUAGGGCCGUGCUGGAUAUCACCCCCUUCGCCCUGGCCCCAAAACAUCAUCAACAGGGUUGUGCAUAG